rnacentral:misc_RNA from 1 species
AUCUCAGAGCCAGGUGCAG